rnacentral:misc_RNA from 1 species
UAAAUCCUCAAAUUCAAGCUUGGAGUCGAAGACUUCAUCAUACUGUGUCCAGCCUGCUUGUAUUGAGCCAUCUUGUGUCAUCCAGCCUGCAUGUUUUUCACCGCGUUUCCUAAGGCCCAAGAAAGGAAAGAAGACGAAACAGAAAUCUGAGAUGCACAAUCAAGUGAGCCCGCUUCCAGAGCUCAUGGCUGAACCGACAAAUGCUCGAUCCAUGUCUUUUGUGGGAACACAUGAGUACCUUGCUCCAGAAAUUAUUA